AUUGAACGCUGGCGGCAUGCUUUACACAUGCAAGUCGAACGGCAGCGGGGAGGUGCUUGCUUCUCUGCCGGCGAGUGGCGAACGGGUGAGUAAUACAUCGGAACGUGUCGAGAAGAGGGGGAUAACCACCCGAAAGGGUGGCUAAUACCGCAUAAAUUCUGCGGCAGAAAGCUGGUGACCUAGGAAUAGGCCUAGCGCUUUUUGACCCGCCGAUGUCGGAUUAGCUUGUUGGUGUGGUAAAGGCUCACCAAGGCGAAGAUCUGUAGCGGGUCUGAGAGGAUGAUCGGCCACACUGGAACUGAGACACGGCCCAGACUCCUACGGGAGGCAGCAGUGGGGAAUUUUGGACAAUGGGGGCAACCAUGAUCCAGCCAUGCCGCGUGUAUGAAGAAGGCCUUAGGGUUGUAAAGUACUUUUGUUAGGGAAGAAAAGUCAGCUGUGAAUAAUGGCUGAUACUGACGGUACCUAAAGAAUAAGCACCGGCUAACUACGUG
rnacentral:rRNA from 1 species